CAGAUCGGGGGUUGGAUAUGGCCAAAACCAUCCAAGGUUUUUAACGGAACCCUCGUUCAUUCAGACAGUGGCAUUCCGACAAGCCCGUGGCGGCUGUUAGCAUUCUCCUGACGAGGCGCCGGAUCGAUCAAUCGAGGCUGGAGCAUGGCGCGGGCGGCGGCGCUGGAGCGGCAUUUGCCCCUCACGGAUUGAUAAUCCCGUGAGCGCCAGGCAGCGAUCGAUCCGAAAUAUCGAUAUUCGAGCGGCGGGCGCAUCGAUCUCUCGGCAGCGCGAUUUCCAGAAAAUCGGUUUUGUUCUUGUGCUGCUCUAAAGUAAGGUAUUAUUUGUGUUGGAGCCGAAAAGAGAGCAAAUGUGGCUUAUAUGAAACAAUUUGAAUAAUGCUAUUGGCAGAAUGGAUAUACUUAUUAUGAAUA